UGGAGCCUUCAGCACGACUGUAAAGAAAUGCGUAGUUUGCUUGCAAGCAAUGCCACUCAAAUGCUGAGACAUAUGAAUCAGCAGCCUUUUAGGCUCACAGAUCAAAUUGUGGUAACCAUUCUUAUGGGCAAGAUAUGACCGGUCUUAACUAGAGUUAGUUAAGAAUCCACGUUCCGUAGGUGAACCUGCGGAAGGAUCAUUAAAGGUUUCGGGUACCCAGUGCCCAAACUUCAACCCUAUGUUUUAACUAUACAUGUUUCUUUGCCGGUUUCGGCCGGCAGAAGUUUUCUCAAACUCCACUAUAAAUGUGUCUUCUGAAUCAAAACUAAAUAAAUUAAAACUUUCAACAACGGAUCUCUUGGUUCUGGCAUCGAUGAAGAGCGCAGCGAAAUGCGAUAAGUAAUGUGAAUUGCAGAAUUCAGUGAAUCAUCGAAUCUUUGAACGCAUAUUGCGCCCUUUGGCAUUCCGAAGGGCAUACCUGUUCGAGCGUCAUUACACCCCUCAAAGAUGACUCUUUGGCGUUGGGCAAUGCCUAAAGGCAUGCCUCAAAAUCAGCGAUGGUGAUAUUCAACCACAGGCGCACACACGUCGUCUAGCUGGCGGGAUGUUGACAGUCAAUUGAUGAAUUUCUAAAUGUUGACCUCGGAUCAGGUAGGAAUACCCGCUGAACUUAAGCAUAUUCG
rnacentral:rRNA from 1 species